CCUAUGGGGGGCAGCAGUGAGGAAUAUUGGUCAAUGGGCGAGAGCCUGAACCAGCCAAGUCGCGUGAAGGAAGACGGCCCUACGGGUUGUAAACUUCUUUUGUCAGGGCGCAAUAGAGUCCACGUGUGGGCUUAGCGAGAGUACCUGAAGAAAAAGCAUCGGCUAACUCCGUGCCAGCAGCCGCGGUAAUACGGAGGAUGCGAGCGUUAUCCGGAUUUAUUGGGUUUAAAGGGUGCGUAGGCGGAAUAUCAAGUCAGCGGUAAAAAUUCGGGGCUAAACCCCGUCGUGACGUUGAAACUGAUGUUCUUGAGUGGGCGAGAAGUAUGCGGAAUGCGUGGUGUAGCGGUGAAAUGCAUAGAGAUCACGAAAAACUCCGAUUGCGAAGGCAGCAUGCCGGCGCCCAACUGACGCUGAAGCACGAAAGCGUGGGUAUCGAACAGGAUUAGAUACCCGGGUAGUC
rnacentral:rRNA from 1 species